UCAUUAAAGAGUAAGGGUGCUCAGCGCCCGACCUCCAACCCUUUGUUGUUAAAACUACCUUGUUGCUUUGGCGGGACCGCUCGGUCUCGAGCCGCUGGGGAUUCGUCCCAGGCGAGCGCCCGCCAGAGUUAAACCAAACUCUUGUUAUUAAACCGGUCGUCUGAGUUAAAAUUUUGAAUAAAUCAAAACUUUCAACAACGGAUCUCUUGGUUCUCGCAUCGAUGAAGAACGCAGCGAAAUGCGAUAAGUAAUGUGAAUUGCAGAAUUCAGUGAAUCAUCGAAUCUUUGAACGCACAUUGCGCCCCUUGGUAUUCCGAGGGGCAUGCCUGUUCGAGCGUCAUUACACCACUCAAGCUAUGCUUGGUAUUGGGUGCCGUCCUUAGUUGGGCGCGCCUUAAAGACCUCGGCGAGGCCACUCCGGCUUUAGGCGUAGUAGAAUUUAUUCGAACGUCUGUCAAAGGAGAGGAACUCUGCCGAUUGAAACCUUUUAUUUU
rnacentral:rRNA from 1 species